rnacentral:rRNA from 1 species
GGAGGGUGCGAGCGUUGUCCGGAAUCACUGGGCGUAAAGGGCGCGUAGGUGGCUUGGCAAGCGUGUGGUGAAAGCCCGGGGCUCAACCCCGGGUCUGCCGUGCGAACUGCUAUGGCUUGAGCACUGUAGAGGCAGGUAGAAUUCCGGGUGUAGCGGUGGAAUGCGUAGAGAUCCGGAAGAAUACCGGUGGCGAAGGCGGCCUGCUGGGCAGUGGCUGACACUGAGGCGCGACAGCGUGGGGAGCAAACAGGAUUAGAUAUCCUGGUAGUCCACGCCGUAAACGAUGGGCACUAGGUGCUUGGGGGAGCGACCCUCUGAGUGCCGUCGCUAACGCAGUAAGUGCCCCGCCUGGGGAGUACGGCCGCAAGGCUG